GAUGAACGCUGGCGGCGUGCCUAAUACAUGCAAGUCGAGCGAACGGACGAGAAGCUUGCUUCUCUGAUGUUAGCGGCGGACGGGUGAGUAACACGUGGAUAACCUACCUAUAAGACUGGGAUAACUUCGGGAAACCGUAGCUAAUACCGGAUAAUAUUUUGAACCGCAUGGUUCAAAAGUGAAAGACGGUCUUGCUGUCACUUAUAGAUGGAUCCGCGCUGCAUUAGCUAGUUGGUAAGGUAACGGCUUACCAAGGCAACGAUGCAUAGCCGACCUGAGAGGUGAGUGGCACAAACGAGACUGCAAACCCGCACCGGCCCCAUCCGGGAGGAAGCAGUGGGGAAUCUCCCGCAAUGGGCGAAACCCUGACGAAGUACGCCCGCGGGAGAGAUAAAGUUCUUGGGACCUUAAAACCCUGUUAUUGGGAAAAAAAAAAGUUGUAAGUAAUUGUACCCACCUUGACGGUACCUAAUCAGAAGGCCACGCCCACCUCCUGC
rnacentral:rRNA from 1 species